AAUGAAAAUUUAUUAAAGUAAUGAGCUCAUAAGGAAAUGUCACAGAAGAAUCUUAGGCUAGGCUAAGCCUCCUGCGAGAUGCAAAACAGAGGCCCUUCUUUAUGGAAGCUGUGUGUCCCAGAAAGACAACAUUACCAAGCAUGCCUGUGAUAAGGAGUUUCAAGCACUUAAAGACUGUAUAAGACAAGCAGCAAAGAAAAUUAAAGUGUAGAGACUUGAAAAGAGAGAACAACUGCACCUGUUGCUGCAAAGUUCAGGAACAGAAGAUGUCACAGGGAACCCACUCACUUUUUGUCUGGGAUAAAAAAUGCUCUAAGGAGACAUAUAGGUUUGUGGAAACUGAAAGAGAAUGUAAUGGAAGUCCCUGUGCUCAGUUUGAAUGCCACGAUUUUUAUAGUUUUUAAAUUUGUUUUGUUUUUUUCAGGUACUUGGAAAUCCAACACCAUUGUAGAAUUGAUGAAUUAAAAGCA